rnacentral:rRNA from 1 species
CAUUACUGAGUGAGGGCCCUCUGGGUCCAACCUCCCACCCGUGUUUAUUGUACCUUGUUGCUUCGGCAGGCCCGCCUUACGGCCGCCGGGGGGCUUCUGCCCCCGGGCCCGCGCCUGCCGGAGACAAUCUUGAACGCUGUCUGAAGAAUGCAGUCUGAGCGAUUAAGCAAAAUUAGUUAAAACUUUCAACAACGGAUCUCUUGGUUCCGGCAUCGAUGAAGAACGCAGCGAAAUGCGAUAAUUAAUGUGAAUUGCAGAAUUCAGUGAAUCAUCGAGUCUUUGAACGCACAUUGCGCCCCCUGGUAUUCCGGGGGGCAUGCCUGUCCGAGCGUCAUUGCUGCCCUCAAGCACGGCUUGUUUGUUGGGUCUUGUUCCCCCGGGAACAGGCCCGAAAGGCAGUGGCGGCACCCUCCGAUCCUCGAGCGUAUGGGGCUUUGUCACCCGCUCUGUAGGCCCGGCCGGCGCUUGCCGACCCCAAUCAAUCUUUUUCAGGUUGACCUCGGAUCAGGUAGGGAUACCCGCUGAACUUAAGCAUAUCAA